rnacentral:miRNA from 1 species
UAGCCAGGAAUGGCUUGCCUA